rnacentral:piRNA from 1 species
UUUAGCCUGGAAUCUGUCCCAGA